UAUGAGGAGCAUGAGGAGUUAUGACCCAGACGAUAGAAUUUCCCGUUUUUGGGUACAUAAGUUGAUAAUUUCAAUUUUUAUCUGGCGUAAAUAGCUCAUGACGCUCAUGAGCCUCAUGACAUCACAAACUUGUAAUUUUCCGCAAAGAGAAUCGAUCAAUGUCAUGUUUUGGCGCCUGUGCUAUGGAAGUUAUUGAAGCGCAGCAAUAGUUGAAGUAAAAUUUAAUCCAAAGUAGAGGCCGUAGUGGCAACCCCUCGAAUGAAAUGGUGCGAACAAAAGCUGAUUCGAGUUCUGUUAAAGCGGCCGGUGCCAAGCUACCCAGGAAGAUUAAUAGCUAGCCUUACAACUAGCUCCACAGGUAAAACUACAUCUGACAUUGGCCAAGAAAGAAUAUGUGACUUCUAAACUACUUCAAGACAUUGUGAGUAUUGUCUGGCAUGUUGGCAGGGCAGCAGAAUAAAAAGGAGAACCACGAAGGAUGGUGCUCAGUUAUAGUAUAAAAAUAGUGUUCAGGUGUUUCAACCCAAAUACUAAUCAGUUGUGUGUGUGUGUGUGUGUACAGAUUACCCCUUUGGUGCAAUUGACCAAGUGGAAGUUCUUGAAUAUUUAAUGUAUUCUAGUGUCACUUGUCAAGCUGCAGGGCUGGCCAAACAGGUUGUAUAAUGUUGGCUUCAGUAACAGCUGUUAGGUUUAGAAAGGGAAAGAAAAAUUCCAGCACCAAGUUAUUGACACAGGAACAUGGAGACUUGAGAAUUAAAAGCAACCUAGUGACAGGAAUAUCUUUGCUUAUUACAGUUCCCCAUUCGUUGAAAGGCAUGGGGAACCCACCUUCAUCCAUAAAUCUUCUACUAAGUUGUCUUGAGGACCAGCAUCCAGUUUAAUACAAACUGCUGUAUUGUCAUUUUAUGGUUUGCCUAACCCUGUUCUCCAUCUCUUUUGGGUUUAAUUAAUGUUUUGGAUUAAUUCUGUAAUGAUAUGUAUUGUUUGGGACUGAAAUACACAAGACAAGAUAUUGUAUGCACAUGAAUGGUGACAAAUGUACAUGUACUCCAUUGCUGUCUGCCAGACAAUAUAAAGCAUCAGCACUUGUGUCAAACAGAUCUGAGGAGCUGUAGAAAAGCUGACAAAGCAAAUGUCUCAACAUGACUUUUAUGAAACAUUUCUGAAAAUAAUACACUGAUCAUAUUAACAAUACAUUAUCAUAUGCAACAUUAAUUUAUAUUUCAUAUAACAGAACUUAAAUUUGAAUUUGCAGUAGGCACUUGACACAAAACAUCAUUGCAGACAAUAAAAACAAACUCCCUUAUUACAAAUUCUUAGGCAACAGCUGAAAAAGGUAUGAGACAUUAGCAUAACAAUAUUGUAUUGGACCUGCUGUAUGGAGUGUGAAAGUAUAAUACUGCCAUGCAGAAUGCUAAGUUCUGACUGAUACUGUAGGGAAAUGGUAUUUCUGUAACAACGUGGCCGUAGUCUAUUCUAUGGCAGUAACUGUGAAUUUUCCUCUAUGAUAACAAUGGCAUGCUUUGUUCUAGUAAUCUUACCAAAAUAAACUACCAGCAGCUGAAAAAUGUGUUUAGAAUUUGGUUUGUUCUACCUAUGUUACGUCCUGUUCUGAUCAUGGAAUGUUCUGCAUUCCUUCCUGUGGCCUCCACAGAAAAACUAAACAGGAACUGCUUGGUAG